UAGACGCCACAAGGCCGCCGCCCUUCACAACACACACAUCAUGAGAUCCAUCCAUUCACCGCGCACGGCCAGAGAGGGGAGAACCCAUGCACGCAAACAUCCAUCACGCGCACCUAUAACAUCCAUCCAUCACACGUCUACGCGGCCACGCAGCCGGCGGAAGACCAGAUCGCAUCCACGGGCCAACGCAGCCGGGCGAGAAUGCCGGCGCCAGCGACAUGGACACCAAGCUCACGUUCCAAAAGGUGUCAUGUUCUUGGCCUGAGAUGACUCGGGAGCUGCCGGAGCUCGCCAACGACGCAGCCCAACCGCUAGCCCCGACGCUCCUCUAACAUGGUAGUCUACAUGUCCCCGGCGAACAGGUCACGAUGCACGGAUCACAACGAACAGGUCAUCGGUGCAACAGGUCCAUGGCGUGCCGAUCACGGUGCACAGGUUUGGCCUCUUGCUUCCCGGAUGAGACGGCGGGGCGGAGCCGGAGCCCGCCAACGACGCAGCCCGAGACCCGUCUUUCCCUUCAUGGUGUACAGAUCUUUGUUUGAACCAGAGCUCGAUGACGCCGCAGCCCGAGAUUCGCCUUUUCCUUCAUGGCGUAUAGAUCUUUGCCUGAACUGAAGUUUGCAACGUUGCAGUCGAAGACCGGUUCCCUCUUUCAAGAGGUGCACCCAUUGUGGCGAACAAGUCCUUGGCAUACAGGUCCACGGCAUCGCCGGCGUACAGGCCACCCUUUGGCGUAGCACUAGCCCAAGGCGACGCGCCCUCUACAACGCCACAUUUUCCAUGACCUGGUGAGGCGGCCCCUUUGUCUUGGCGGACCGCCGAAUACACGGCGUCUAGCCAAGACGAGGUGCCAACCACCCGGGCCACGCCCAUGUGAGCGCGCUAGUUUUUACACUGACGCCGGUCUCCCAAACCAUUACUCCCGCAAGGUGUAGCCCCUUGCACACCCUGACGAAGUAACCGGUCGUCGAGAAGUCCAAGCCGAGCGCGACCCAUGUUACCUCAACACCAACUACUCCAACGCCGCCAAGACCGACGAGGCACGACGGUGAGGGCGGGCGUGGCCACCGCUAAGGCCAUGCUACAUGCGGCACGUGUACCGACAAGGACACAGGCAAUGUCGCCGCCCACACAGACAUCACCAUUAUUAUGCAUGGAGAACGCGAAGCGAAGACGACGAAGACGACCACACAGCUUAAUCGGAGGUAUCCCGCGGAGCAACCCGCGGGAGUAAUUAACCGGGAGCCUUCCGAGGCCCCGGGAACCAGGAGACCGCAAUCGCCACAGUCAGGCUGGCCGUGCCAGUAGGCCAUGGAGCGUAUUUGUUUUCUUUACGGGAUCUUGUAAUUCUGUUUCUCCAAUGAGAUUAAUGAAAUACUCGUUUCCUGUA